UUCCCUUACUUUCUUAAUAAACUCGCUUUCACUUUAUGGAUUCAACUGUAAUUCUUUCUUGUGUGAGAUCCAAGAACCUUCUUGUAGGGUCUGGAUUGGGACCCUUUUCUGGUAACAUCUUCCUGGUGACCAUGAAGGGACAAUACUGAAGAGACCCCUGACCCUAAGGAAAUAGACUGCAGCACCAAUGGGCCAACUUUGGUGAUCUCUGGCUGCUGCUCAGAAGAAACAAGAGGGAGGGAUGAAUAAUGUAAAACUCUGGAUCAAUAUUCUAAUUCUGAGCCUCUAUUGGAAUCAGCUAGCAACCACAUAUCAGCUUGGUUUCAACAGUUUCCCAGUUCAUGGUUUGUGGCAAGCUGGAUUGAGCAAGUCUGUUGGCGCCAUUUUUUCAACAGCAUGUAGUCACUUUGUGUCUUCGUGUCACAUUUUGCUAAUUCUUACAAUCUGUCUCGUGAUUUUUUGGGGGGCACCAUGGGGGGGCACCAUGAACCACACCUAUACAAGAUGGCAAACUUAAUCAAUAAAUGUUUAUUUU
rnacentral:lncRNA from 1 species